CGCCCCGAAUCGGUUCUCUAGGAACCUUUUCAUUAAGCUUAGUCAAUGUAAAUAUAACUAUGAACUGUUCAGCGUUGUGUGCAGAAACCUAAAUGUUAACAUCAACAUCGGGCUCUUUAAAGUCUAUCGAAAUAACUACGCUUAAUACGCGCAAUUUGUCUAUGCCGUAGUUAAACUAACUUGUAAUCUUAACGUCUCACUACGAUUCGAAGAUUAACCAGUGUUGCUUGCUGUUAUCGGUUGCUAUGGCCCUCAUAACCUUGGUUCUGUGUGUGCCUGUGCUGUGCUAAAUGUGCACAUGUUUUCUUCUUUUUUUUCUCAUUAAUUUACUUAUACAAGGAUUUUAUUCUUUUCCGUUUUUCUCAUUGCUUCUCUUUAUGUACCUCGUAUUUAAUAAUAAAUAGUAUAAGAUUUACUUCUAAGCGACUAUUAUGGGUCAUAAUUUACUUUAGCUGACUAAAUACACCAGAAAAUAAAAAAUAGCUCUUUUUUAUAAUCAUCCCGGACUAAUAAUUUCAAAGAUCAAAGUGUUUAUGUUUUGGAAAGAACGAAGUGAAAUGGAACGAAAGUUUACCCCAACUCUUGCAAUACAAAUUCACGCUUUUGCGAUGUUAACUCGGCGGCGUAUGGUGCAUGAUCUGAGGCAUUAUUAAAUCCUAUCAUGUUCGAAGUCGAGAGUAGCACCGACGAAAAUUCUCAUGGUACUCAAACACGAUUAUCAACACUUUUAAUGUUAUCGGUGCUUGUGAACAGUGAUAUCCAUUCUUUGCCCACUGAACAUAUAAUUCUUUGCUGGUCAAUGGUUAUUUUAUCAUGCCAAUUUAAAUCUAGCGAAUAUUUUAUCGAGAGGCACUUUGCCGAAAAAAGUACUUCCUUCGAAUAUUUGGAAAAAUGAUGCAGAUUUUCUGAAAAGCUAUUGGUCUAAUUGGCUAAAAGAAGUAACCUUUCUAACUGAACUGUCGGAAAGAAAGCGUGCAUUAGCCACUUCACUACACAGUUGGACAAGAAGCUGCAAGUACCACAGUUGAGUGUGCAUAGCGUCAAGCACACAUAGCAACAUUUAUCAAUUCAACAAACUUAAUUCGUGUUGGUGGGAGACUUAAUGUCAGUCAUUCAUUCCCAUCAGAGAUUUUUCCAUGCAGCGUUGCACUACUUGGUCAUUGCAAUCUGGCGGAAGUAUCAACGCUUGAAUGGGCAGAAAACAGUCGUAUAUGUAAACAUCAAAUAUAUUGAGCGUGCAAUAGCAAAACUAGUAGUACUGUCUAUUCAUUAUGACCCUGGAAGCCAAAACCUUUCAAUGAAUGGACGAUAUUCCUGGCGCAUCUGCCUAUGUUGCGUUUAGCUUACGCAACUUUAAUGUAAUACAUUUAUGAUUUACACAUAAUUUAAGAUAAUUGCAAGUUGUCUUUUACUCGCUUACAUACGUAUAUACAUAGGUGUGCUGCAUUAAUUGCUAUUUCCCAGGUAGGAACACACAGUUUUCCUUGAAACACACACUUACA